rnacentral:rRNA from 1 species
UAAUACGGCAUACGUCCUACGGGAGAAAGCGGGGGACCUUCGGGCCUUGCGCUAUCAGAUGAGCCUAGGUCGGAUUAGCGAGUUGGUGGGGUAAUGGCUCACCAAGGCUAGGAUCCGUAACUGGUCUGAGAGGGUGAUCAGUCACACUGGAAGUGAGACACGGUCCACCCUCCUACGGGAGGCAGCAGUGGGGAAUAUUGGACAAUGGGCGAAAGCCGGAUCCAAAAGAGGCCGCGUGUGUGAAGAAGGUCUUCG